ACCAUUAUGACAUAGGCAUCAUCUGGGACCAUUUUGAAGGCAAACUCCUUGAUCCCAUUGAGGCAUUCAGCUCCACUGACCAUUUUCCAGCCAGACAUUAAAAAAUAUCUUCAAAAGGAGAAGACGGCAGCAAUGUACAUACUGUGCAGAAUGGAGACCCCAGCGAGGCACGUUAGAUCCCAGGUAACCUACAGGAACUGAAGGAGCAAGAACCAUCCUCAAGGGAGCCCCAGGAGAUCAAAUGGCACGAUCGAGUCAUCACUGAGCCUGGGGUGGUCUUGAAUUUCAGUUGAUUCCAGCAGGAAGGGAGCAAUGAGAUCCCCCCACCACAGUGGAACACUGGCACUGAUGCCAAGGUGGAGUAUUUUUG